rnacentral:rRNA from 1 species
UUAAGCGACUAAGCGUACACGGUGGAUGCCCUGGCAGUCAGAGGCGAUGAAGGACGUGCUAAUCUGCGAUAAGCGCCGGUAAGGUGAUAUGAACCGUUAUAACCGGCGAUUUCCGAAUGGGGAAACCCAGUGUGAUUCGUCACACUAUCAUUAACUGAAUCCAUAGGUUAAUGAGGCGAACCGGGGGAACUGAAACAUCUAAGUACCCCGAGGAAAAGAAAUCAACCGAGAUUCCCCCAGUAGCGGCGAGCGAACGGGGAGGAGCCCAGAGCCUGAAUCAGCAUGUGUGUUAGUGGAAGCGUCUGGAAAGGCGCGCGAUACAGGGUGACAGCCCCGUACACAAAAGCGCAUGUGCUGUGAGCUCGAUGAGUAGGGCGGGACACGUGGUAUCCUGUCUGAAUAUGGGGGGACCAUCCUCCAAGGCUAAAUACUCCUGACUGACCGAUAGUGAACCAGUACCGUGAGGGAAAGGCGAAAAGAACCCCGGCGAGGGGAGUGAAAAAGAACCUGAAACCGUGUACGUACAAGCAGUGGGAGCACAGGUUUACCUGUGUGACUGCGUACCUUUUGUAUAAUGGGUCAGCGACUUAUAUUCUGUAGCAAGGUUAACCGUAUAGGGGAGCCGUAGGGAAACCGAGUCUUAACCGGGCGUUAAGUUGCAGGGUAUAGACCCGAAACCCGGUGAUCUAGCCAUGGGCAGGUUGAAGGUUGGGUAACACUAACUGGAGGACCGAACCGACUAAUGUUGAAAAAUUAGCGGAUGACCUGUGGCUGGGGGUGAAAGGCCAAUCAAACCGGGAGAUAGCUGGUUCUCCCCGAAAGCUAUUUAGGUAGCGCCUCGUGAAUUCAUCUCCGGGGGUAGAGCACUGUUUCGGCUAGGGGGCCAUCCCGGCUUACCAACCCGAUGCAAACUGCGAAUACCGGAGAAUGUUAUCACGGGAGACACACGGCGGGUGCUAACGUCCGUCGUGAAGAGGGAAACAACCCAGACCGCCAGCUAAGGUCCCAAAGUCAUGGUUAAGUGGGAAACGAUGUGGGAAGGCCCAGACAGCCAGGAUGUUGGCUUAGAAGCAGCCAUCAUUUAAAGAAAGCGUAAUAGCUCACUGGUCGAGUCGGCCUGCGCGGAAGAUGUAACGGGGCUAAACCAUGCACCGAAGCUGCGGCAGCGACACUGUGUGUUGUUGGGUAGGGGAGCGUUCUGUAAGCCUGUGAAGGUGGCCUGUGAGGGUUGCUGGAGGUAUCAGAAGUGCGAAUGCUGACAUAAGUAACGAUAAAGCGGGUGAAAAGCCCGCUCGCCGGAAGACCAAGGGUUCCUGUCCAACGUUAAUCGGGGCAGGGUGAGUCGACCCCUAAGGCGAGGCCGAAAGGCGUAGUCGAUGGGAAACGGGUUAAUAUUCCCGUACUUGGUGUUACUGCGAAGGGGGGACGGAGAAGGCUAUGUUGGCCGGGCGACGGUUGUCCCGGUUUAAGCGUGUAGGUGUGUGUUCCAGGUAAAUCCGGUUCACUUUAACACUGAGGCGUGACGACGAGGCACUACGGUGCUGAAGCAACAAAUGCCCUGCUUCCAGGAAAAGCCUCUAAGCAUCAGGUAACAUCAAAUCGUACCCCAAACCGACACAGGUGGUCAGGUAGAGAAUACCAAGGCGCUUGAGAGAACUCGGGUGAAGGAACUAGGCAAAAUGGUGCCGUAACUUCGGGAGAAGGCACGCUGACACGUAGGUGAAGUGAUUUACUCAUGGAGCUGAAGUCAGUCGAAGAUACCAGCUGGCUGCAACUGUUUAUUAAAAACACAGCACUGUGCAAACACGAAAGUGGACGUAUACGGUGUGACGCCUGCCCGGUGCCGGAAGGUUAAUUGAUGGGGUCAGCGCAAGCGAAGCUCCUGAUCGAAGCCCCGGUAAACGGCGGCCGUAACUAUAACGGUCCUAAGGUAGCGAAAUUCCUUGUCGGGUAAGUUCCGACCUGCACGAAUGGCGUAAUGAUGGCCAGGCUGUCUCCACCCGAGACUCAGUGAAAUUGAACUCGCUGUGAAGAUGCAGUGUACCCGCGGCAAGACGGAAAGACCCCGUGAACCUUUACUAUAGCUUGACACUGAACAUUGAGCCUUGAUGUGUAGGAUAGGUGGGAGGCUUUGAAGUGUGGACGCCAGUCUGCAUGGAGCCGACCUUGAAAUACCACCCUUUAAUGUUUGAUGUUCUAACGUGGACCCGUAAUCCGGGUUGCGGACAGUGUCUGGUGGGUAGUUUGACUGGGGCGGUCUCCUCCUAAAGAGUAACGGAGGAGCACGAAGGUUGGCUAAUCCUGGUCGGACAUCAGGAGGUUAGUGCAAUGGCAUAAGCCAGCUUGACUGCGAGCGUGACGGCGCGAGCAGGUGCGAAAGCAGGUCAUAGUGAUCCGGUGGUUCUGAAUGGAAGGGCCAUCGCUCAACGGAUAAAAGGUACUCCGGGGAUAACAGGCUGAUACCGCCCAAGAGUUCAUAUCGACGGCGGUGUUUGGCACCUCGAUGUCGGCUCAUCACAUCCUGGGGCUGAAGUAGGUCCCAAGGGUAUGGCUGUUCGCCAUUUAAAGUGGUACGCGAGCUGGGUUUAGAACGUCGUGAGACAGUUCGGUCCCUAUCUGCCGUGGGCGCUGGAGAACUGAGGGGGGCUGCUCCUAGUACGAGAGGACCGGAGUGGACGCAUCACUGGUGUUCGGGUUGUCAUGCCAAUGGCACUGCCCGGUAGCUAAAUGCGGAAGAGAUAAGUGCUGAAAGCAUCUAAGCACGAAACUUGCCCCGAGAUGAGUUCUCCCUGAGACUUAGAGUCUCCUGAAGGAACGUUGAAGACGACGACGUUGAUAGGCCGGGUGUGUAAGCGCAGCGAUGCGUUGAGCUAACCGGUACUAAUGAACCGUGAGGCUUAACCUU